rnacentral:lncRNA from 1 species
CUUGCUACAUGAGUGAACCGACUACUCCAUCGGAGGUCCUGUUGAAAUUUACAGUUCAGUCAGACAGAUGAUGUCAUAAAAUUAGGGCUGCUGUGUAGGAUAUGAUGGAAGAAACAACGCAAUCUACGGAAUCAGCAGUAGUAGUGACAACAUCAUGUCCAUGGAUAAGCUCAAUACUACAAGAGGAUCGCUAAACUGAAGCCAAUACUCCCAUAAAUAUCGUAAAUCAACAAUUCAAAUAAGCAGAGUUAAGAACAAUGAUUUGAGCGACUGAAAUUGGAGAGUGAGAAAAGGGUACAAUAGUACAGCGGCGUGUGUUUAGUUUCCUUUUGGUGUAGCCGGAUCUUAUCUUCUUCUGGAACUGGUUCGGAGAAGAAGAAGAGGUGACGGAAUCAACCGCCGGCGACGUCACCCUUUCGCCUUCAUUUUUCGAAUCGGGUCUUUGUUUGUUCCGCAACUUGGUCAAACAGUCCAUUAUUG